UACGUAGGGUGCGAGCGUUGACCGGAUUUAUUGGGCGUAAAGGGCGCGUAGGCGGCCUGGCGCGUCGGCUGUGAAAUCUCCCGGCUCAACUGGGAGGGGACGGCCGAUACGGCUGGGCUUGAGCGAGGUAGGGGAGAGUGGAAUUCCCGGUGUAGUGGUGGAAUGCGUAGAUAUCGGGAAGAACACCCGUGGCUAAGGCGGCUCUCUAGUACGGUACUGACGCUGAGACGCGAAAGCGUGGGGAGCGAACAGG
rnacentral:rRNA from 1 species